GACGAACGCUGGCGGCGUGCCUAAUACAUGCAAGUUGAGCGCUGAAGGUUGGUACUUGUACCAACUGGAUGAGCAGCGAACGGGUGAGUAACGCGUGGGGAAUCUGCCUUUGAGCGGGGGACAACAUUUGGAAACGAAUGCUAAUACCGCAUAAAAACUUUAAACACAAGUUUUAAGUUUGAAAGAUGCAAUUGCAUCACUCAAAGAUGAUCCCGCGUUGUAUUAGCUAGUUGGUGAGGUAAAGGCUCACCAAGGCGAUGAUACAUAGCCGACCUGAGAGGGUGAUCGGCCACAUUGGGACUGAGACACGGCCCAAACUCCUACGGGAGGCAGCAGUAGGGAAUCUUCGGCAAUGGACGAAAGUCUGACCGAGCAACGCCGCGCGAGUGAAGAAGGGUGUCGGAUCGUAAAACUCUGUUGGUAGAGAAGAACGUUGGUGAGAGUGGAAAGCUCAUCAAGUGACGGUAACUACCCAGAAAGGGACGGCUAACUACGUG
rnacentral:rRNA from 1 species